rnacentral:misc_RNA from 1 species
GUGCUUACAGGCAUAGGAUUAUCAUGUUGUCUUAGGGCCAUAGAAUUCUUUUUAAGUGCGAGCUUAGCCUUUUGCCUAGACCCCCAUAUUGCAGUAACAUUUAUAUUUCUCCACUUAUCCUUGAGAUCCACAUUUGAGCGUUGAUGCAAAAUUGAGCUGAACUCAGGAUCUGUGAGUAUUGUGCGCCAUUUUCCCGCUCCAUGCUUGAUCACUCCUGCUUUAAGGGCAGCUUCU